UAGUGGAACAUCUUCCCGGAAAAGUGGAGGUUACUAUAACAGCAAAUGGGGACUCAAAGUGGAAUUGAACAUUCGAAAAGCACAUGCCUGUCUUACUCGGGUGCAAAACGUAAAAUAUAUUAGAAAUAUAUACAAAUGAAGUAAAACGUUUUCUCAACCAGCCUGGAUGUGGAAUGUUUUUUUUUUUAAUACAUGCUCGGAAUUGAAUGCUAUUAGCAAUUAGCAUAAUCAGCAUCAGACGCUAAUGAGGAGAUUGUUUGUGUACCCUGAUUAUUUACCAAAAAAUGGUAGAUUUGCUUCCCUGUCAUUACAUAUGAUUACUAUUUUUAUUUGCUUCGUGGUUCUCGGCUAACAAAGUCCAGGAGAUGAAGAAGAAGGAGGAGGCCAAGCAGCAGGGCUGAGUGGAGGCUGUUUUUACGGCGGUUGCCGUGGCCAGCUGAGUGACGUGCGUGUGCACAUGCCGGUCCGUAUGCUGUGUGGUAGGAGACAGAACGGCUGCGGCCCCCUCUUCACUCGCAUCACACUAUUCCCAACAUGAACUUUCACGUUCCUUCAUCCACUCACUGAGUCACUGCAAGCAAGUCAUGCCUCCUUACACAAAAAACUUAUUUCUUUUGGAGAGGGGGGGCUGGAGAGAACAAGCUGAGGAAGUUUGACUCACUCCAAACUCCGGACUCUUCACAGAGUCAUUCAGAAGUCUCCGGAGUCAUCUCUCACGCCGUCUCGCUCCCGUGUGUAAACAGAAACCGCCGGAUCGUUAACAUCCCCUCGUGGCAGGCUAACCACAACCAUUUCAUACAUACUUCACGUGGUUGAGCGGCUGAAUCAGAGUCUGUCAGCCUGUUGCGGCUCGAAAAACCCAGGUCCCAGUGAGUCAGCGUCUCUCCAGCCCACCUACUAUGAGUCAGUCUCCCACUCGCCGGACAGCCUCGGCCAAUCGGAGGCCUCGCUUCUGUACCACUGUCGUCAGAGCCCCGGUGAUGAAGCUCGAGUCUCAUCUUGUCUGAUCCUGGAGCUCUGCUGAGACACAGAGACAGGAGACCAUUAUGGAUUAAGUCAAACUGGAUUGAGAUGUUCUCCCGGUUGUUCCAGAGUGAGAUGAUUCAUCAUCCCGAGAGGCUGAGUUCUCAUAUCUGAAGCUCUCAUCUCUGGUCUGCUUUUACCGCGAGGUAACGGAGCUUAAAUGGAGUUUAGCGCAACUCCAGCUCUGUAGAAAGUUCAAGAUUUGGGGUAAGAUCAGAAGCCUGUUUUUUGUUUUCAAGUCUUCCGGCUAGUUUCUGUUUUUGAUGGCAUUCCUGUAGAAUUAUUAAAACUUCGGUCUAAAAGCUUUUUUAAGCCCUAUGUCUUUAACCUCAGAGGUAUAAAGGCAGUGAUAUUUAACAUCACUCCAGUGCAUCAGAAAUCCAUUGAGAGACAAAUAGAGAAAUACAGUGAGAAAAAGAGUGGGGGAGGAGAGGACAUGAAGGUCCUACUCACACAGUAGCGGAAACCUGGGCAAAUCUCUCAGCUCUGAUUCAUCUCCUAUGGACAAUGUUGACGCUAAAAACUUCCUUCCUGCUUUGCUGAAACUCACAUUUAUCACCAGUAAAAAUAACAUUAGUCAUCAGCACAUAUGUCAGCGUUCAACUGUUGCCGAUUUUUUAAACCGGUGCUGAAAUUUCAUUGUGGAAUGUAUUGGGAUGGUAACGAUCAACAAAAAAAAUGAAGAAAUAAUAAUUAUAAAAAAAAUUAAUAAUCAAAAAUUGGAAGAAAUGAAGAUGAUGUGAGGUCCAGUUACCAGCAUGACACUAUAACAG